rnacentral:rRNA from 1 species
GUGCCAGCAGCCGCGGUAAUACGUAGGGCGCAAGCGUUAUCCGGAAUUAUUGGGCGUAAAGAGCUCGUAGGCGGUUUGUCGCGUCUGCCGUGAAAGUCCGGGGCUCAACUCCGGAUCUGCGGUGGGUACGGGCAGACUAGAGUGAUGUAGGGGAGACUGGAAUUCCUGGUGUAGCGGUGAAAUGCGCAGAUAUCAGGAGGAACACCGAUGGCGAAGGCAGGUCUCUGGGCAUUAACUGACGCUGAGGAGCGAAAGCAUGGGGAGCGAACAGGAUUAGAUACCCUGGUAGUCCAUGCCGUAAACGUUGGGCACUAGGUGUGGGGGACAUUCCACGUUUUCCGCGCCGUAGCUAACGCAUUAAGUGCCCCGCCUGGGGAGUACGGCCGCAAGGCUAAAACUCAAAGGAAUUGACGGGGGCCCGCACAAGCGGCGGAGCAUGCGGAUUAAUUCGAUGCAACGCGAAGAACCUUACCAAGGCUUGACAUGAACCGGAAAGGCCUGGAAACAGGUCCCCCACUUGUGGUCGGUUUACAGGUGGUGCAUGGUUGUCGUCAGCUCGUGUCGUGAGAUGUUGGGUUAAGUCCCGCAACGAGCGCAACCCUCGUUCUAUGUUGCCAGCACGUGAUGGUGGGGACUCAUAGGAGACUGCCGGGGUCAACUCGGAGGAAGGUGGGGACGACGUCAAAUCAUCAUGCCCCUUAUGUCUUGGGCUUCACGCAUGCUACAAUGGCCGGUACAAAGGGUUGCGAUACUGUGAGGUGGAGCUAAUCCCAAAAAGCCGGUCUCAGUUCGGAUUGGGGUCUGCAACUCGACCCCAUGAAGUCGGAGUCGCUAGUAAUCGCAGAUCAGCAACGCUGCGGUGAAUACGUUCCCGGGCCUUGUACACACCGCCCGU